GGAAAGGUGGCUCAGUGGUUAAGAGCACUGGCUGUUUCUACCAGAGGACCUGAGUUCAAAUCCCAGCACCCCCA
rnacentral:tRNA from 1 species